rnacentral:tRNA from 1 species
GGGCGGUUAGCUCAGCUGGCAGAGCGCAGCCUUCACACGGCUGAAGUCAGAAGUUCAAGUCUUCUACCGCCCACCA